AGGGUAGGAGUCUCGAUGAUGUUCUUUCUCAAGUGUUUAGCCCAAAUAAUCUAUACAAUACAUGAAAGGGGAGUUCAGAGCUCCUCAAAUGCACCACAUGUUGUCUUCUAAAGGGCACACGUAUCAGCGCCCUAGCUUCUGAACCUCCUUUUAUUGUGUGUUUUAUGUGUUCAGCUUCAUAGAUGAUUCGGUGGAGAAGUCAGG
rnacentral:lncRNA from 1 species